rnacentral:rRNA from 1 species
GAUGAACGCUAGCGGCAGGCUUAACACAUGCAAGUCGAGGGGUAUAUGUCUUCGGAUAUAGAGACCGGCGCACGGGUGCGUAACGCGUAUGCAAUCUACCUUUUACAGGGGAAUAGCCCCAGAGAAAUUUGGACUAAUGCCCCAUAGUAUAAUUGAAUGGCAUCAUUUAAUUAUUAAAGUCACAACGGUAAAGAUGAGCAUGCGUCCCAUUAGUUAGUUGGUAAGGUAACGGCUUACCAAGACAAUGAUGGGUAGGGGUCCUGAGAGGGAGAUCCCCACACUGGUACUGAGACACGGACCAGACUCCUACGGGAGGCAGCAGUGAGGAAUAUUGGACAAUAGGGCGGCAAGCCUGAUCCAGCCAUGCCGCGUGCAGGAAGACGGUCCUAUGGAUUGUUAAACUGCUUUUAUACAGG